ACCACUAGCUCGAGCUCGAGGAGCUCCCUGACGCCCAUCCCCACCAUGGCCGCCGCCUCGGGCUCUGCCCAAUUCCGGCGAUGCCGUGCCCCUCUCCCUGUUCCCCCACCACCUAUGCGUUCCUCGAGGUCCGGCGCACCUCCCCGUAGCCUUGCCCACCCAGUUCCCCCACCGGAGCCCCUUGUUCGCCGGAGUCCAAAGACCACCUCCGCUGCGAGCCCUGCUGCUCCUUCUCCCGUGCUCCUCGCCGGAAACGGACACCACCACGGGAUGCGCCUCUCGCUCCUGAGCUCGUGGAUAGGUCGGCCGUCGUCUGAGGCGGCCGGAGCCGCCGGCAAUCGCCGUCGAGGCGGGCGUCUCCCUCGGCCAGGCUCGCGUACGCGCGGGAGGAAGAAGAAGCCAGGCCAGGCGGGCCCCACCCUGCGGGACCCACCUGUCGGUGAGAGGAGGGCGUGGCCCCGCUGGCCACGUCGGAUAAGUGGACGCGCCCGCCCGGGCAAACCGUUUCCCUGCUGUGGAAAUGUAUUCCACCUGAAUACACUUUCCAGGUCAGAAAACGUAUUCCCUGGGCACUUCGGCCGUAAAUGCGUUUCCCUGUGCGGAAAACAUAUUCAGCCCAAAGGCACGUUCAGUUUUUCCUCCAGGGGCCUGUUUGCUGAAAAACUUUCACCGAUAGGUCCCUGAACUUCAAACCUGCGUAUCUCGACAACCGUAACUCCGAUUGAGCACCCUCCGAGAGAGAACUGUUUCCUGCAAAUCUUUCCGCGAUCGUUCCGCACUUUUUCCGGAGUAAUCCUCGGCCCCAGGCAAGCCAACCUCUUAUCAUGAGCCCCGAACUUGCAUGUUGACUUUGCUGUUUUGUAGGUCGUUCGCUUGUUCCGUCGUGCUAGGCCGUAAUCUUGCCAGUCCUGUGCGUUAUGGUGCCCCGCCUUAGUGAGACGCUGCCAAACCAAGACUUCCGCCGCCAUUUAUAUGGACUUCCGCUGCCAUGUAAAUAGCCUUAGGGCUAUGCCAGAAAAUUGUAUUCAUCAAUGAUGUAAUCUUAUACACAUGUAUUUGAUGA